UACGUAGGUGGCGAGCGUUAUCCGGAAUUAUUGGGCGUAAAGAGCGCGCAGGUGGUUGAUUAAGUCUGAUGUGAAAGCCCACGGCUUAACCGUGGAGGGUCAUUGGAAACUGGUCGACUUGAGUGCAGAAGAGGGAAGUGGAAUUCCAUGUGUAGCGGUGAAAUGCGUAGAGAUAUGGAGGAACACCAGUGGCGAAGGCGGCUUCCUGGUCUGUAACUGACACUGAGGCGCAAAAGCGUGGGGAGCAAACAGGAUUAGAUACCCCCGUA
rnacentral:rRNA from 1 species